GAAUCACGGUUGAAACAAGAUUUAUCAUGAGAAGUCAGCAGACGCCAUAGUACCGCGAACAGUCGACGGUUCGAGGGAAGGGC
rfam:Paenibacillus yonginensis strain DCY84 chromosome, complete genome.